UUUGCAGAUUUCCGUAUUCGGUACUUCUUUUAUGGGAGAAGGAUCUGAAAUCGUUUCUAAUCUGGGAUUUCAGCUCUGAAAUUUUAUAUUUAUUGGACAGUCACUAUCUCAAGGUCCACUGAUGAAGGAAUCGCGUCCCCCUAUAUUCCUAUGAAAGCCCGACUCCUAGAAUCACGCUUGCUGCUGGAGAAACCGUACAAUAUAUUAUGUUUAUUGCAGUAAGAAUGAAGGACCUCUUUCUUCUACUACUACGCCAUGUGAGUUAACAAAAACAAACAGAAAAGGGAAGAGAGAAAGAAGAAAAAAAAAAGUAAGACGAAGAAAAGAAGUAGUUACAUGAUAGAAAAGAAAAAGAAAAUUAAAAAAAUCUAUCGUAACAACAAGAAUAAAAAAAAAAAAGGUGAAAUCCAAAAUAAACUGGAAUAAGACGCGCAGGUGCUUAUAAAUAAAAACAGUUAAUAAUGAGCGUUAAGCAAGUAUUUUAACGUCGUACAAAAAACGCCAUUACACAAGUUUGAACAGGCAAUUUUUUUUUUUUUCAUAAAAAAAAAAAAUCAACAACAACAACAACUUCGCUGUGGCUGCACAUCUAAAUCUGUUCGCUGCAAUGGUUGCUGCUGCAAACUCCGAGAACCAGAUGCCCCAAAUGGCAAACAACAUCCACACGGAAGCUGCUAACUGUACAGAGAACAACGUUUCUACAACAGCGAACCAGGUGAAUUCGGAAGAUGGUAAUAAUACCGAUACCAAUGCGAAUUUCUGGUCUUACAUGGCACUAGGAUGGGACUGCGUAAGAACUAUAAUUGGACUUCUUUACCUACUUCUGGAGACAACCUUGAAACAGAUCUUGCCAGUGAAAUACCAGUCUAAGAAUGUCAAAGGUUACAUUGUAUUAAUCACCGGAGCUGGUAUGUACUGUUUCGUUUUUGA